rnacentral:lncRNA from 1 species
GGAAAGCAUGUGUUGAUUGAUUAGUAAUGAAUGAGAAUUUAAACUUUACAUUUAACGCUGCAUUUAAGUCAAUGUCAUAUUCAUUCAGUCAAACAAACGCUCUGCUGCCUAGUUUAACAGUGAUCUACGUUCUAUGAAAGCUGCUGGGAGCAAACUGCAGAGUAGCUAGAGGAAAACAAAGCUAACUGUGCAUCCUCAGGCCCUGGUAUAUCAACAGACUGCAUUCAAACCUAACUACAUCCUCAGGCCCUGGUAUAUCAACAGACUGCAUACAAACCUAACUACAUCCCCAGUCCCUGGUAUAUCAACAGACUGCAUACAAAGAGGCACUGAACAUGAAAUGAAGAGCAUUUACUUCACUGUACAAUCUACCCCUUGAUUCAGACGUGCCCCUCUGCUUCACACUGAGCCUCCCAGCUGCAGUUUCACCACAUUCUCAUUGACAACCCCAACAUCUGUCUCUGAAAUGGUCCAUAAAAUGAGGUCAACUACCUGCCCCUUGGACCCUAUUCCCAUAGGACUCAUACAAUCAGAAAUCACUAAACACUUUCUUAAUUCAGGCAAUAACAACGUGUGGAGACCAUCAUAGUAUAGUAGUGGAGCUAGUAGUGGAGCUAGUACAAUAACAAGGUGUGGAGACCUUCAUAGUACAGUAGUGGAGCCAGUACAAUAACAAGGUGGAGACCAUCAUAGUAUAGUAGUAGUACUAGUAGUGGAGCCAGUACAAUAACAAGGUGUGGAGACCAUCAUAGUAUAGUAGUGGAGCUAGUACAAUAACAAGGUGUGGAGACCAUCAUAGUAUAGUAGUGGAGCCAGUACAAUAACAAGGUGUGGAGACCAUCAUAGUAUAGUAGUGGUACUAGACUGAUUUGAGAAGAAAUAGGGAAUUAUUUCUAAGUGCAAGGGUGCCAAUAUAUUUGGCUGCAGCUGUAUCCAAUCAAAGUCAUUUAGAAAUAUCCAAAUCAUAUAUCAAAUCAAAUUCAAGGUUGGAGUGAAGAAUAGCUAAAUGAAAUGAAUCUAUAUAAUAACUUAAUAGACUAGAGUCCUGUCCAGGGGAAGAACUUGUACAUCAAGCUGCCUCACACUACAGAAACAGGAG